rnacentral:rRNA from 1 species
UACGUAGGGGGCAAGCGUUGUCCGGAUUUAUUGGGCGUAAAGAGCUCGUAGGCGGUUCCGUAAGUCGAGUGUGAAAAAUCUGGGCUCAAACCCAGUGGAGCACUCGAUACUGCGGUGACUAGAGUACGGUAGAGGAGUGUGGAAUUCCUGGUGUAGCGGUGAAAUGCGCAGAUAUCAGGAGGAACACCAACGGCGAAGGCAGCACUCUGGGCCGGUACUGACGUGAGACGCGAAAGCGUGGGGAGCGAAACAGG